GACGAACGCUGGCGGCGUGCUUAACACAUGCAAGUCGAACGGAAAGGCCCUGCUUUUGUGGGGUGCUCGAGUGGCGAACGGGUGAGUAACACGUGAGUAACCUGCCCUUGACUUUGGGAUAACUUCAGGAAACUGGGGCUAAUACCGGAUAGGAGCUCCUGCUGCAUGGUGGGGGUUGGAAAGUUUCGGCGGUUGGGGAUGGACUCGCGGCUUAUCAGCUUGUUGGUGGGGUAGUGGCUUACCAAGGCUUUGACGGGUAGCCGGCCUGAGAGGGUGACCGGCCCCACUGGGACUGAGAUACGGCCCAGACUCCUACGGGAGGCAGCGGUGGGGAAUCUUGCACAAUCGGAGGAAGCCUGAUGCAGCAACGCCGCGUGCGGGAUGACGGCCUUCGGGUUGUAAACCGCUUUCGCCUGUGACGAAGCGUGAGUGAGGGUAAUGGGUAAAGAAGCACGGGCUAACUACGUG
rnacentral:rRNA from 1 species